rnacentral:rRNA from 1 species
CGCCCUUAGAGUUUGAUCAUGGCUCAGGACGAACGCUGGCGGCGUGCCUAAUACAUGCAAGUCGAACGCUGGAGCUUGCUCCAGAGUGGCGGACGGGUGAGUAACACGUGGGCAACCUGCCCAACAGAGGGGGAUAACACUUGGAAACAGGUGCUAAUACCGCAUAAUUUAUGUCCGCAUGGAAGAUAAUAAAAGACGUUCGUGUCACUGUUGGAUGGGCCCGCGUUGCAUUAGUUAGUUGGUGGGGUAAUGGCCUACCAAGACCGUGAUGCAUAGCCGACCUGAGAGGGUGAUCGGCCACACUGGGACUGAGACACGGCCCAGACUCCUACGGGAGGCAGCAGUAGGGAAUCUUCGGCAAUGGACGAAAGUCUGACCGAGCAACGCCGCGUGAGUGAAGAAGGUUUUCGGAUCGUAAAACUCUGUUGUUAGAGAAGAACAAGUGGGAGGUAAUUCCCACCUUGACGGUAUCUAACCAGAAAGCCACGGCUAACUACGUGCCAGCAGCCGCGGUAAUACGUAGGUGGCAAGCGUUGUCCGGAUUUAUUGGGCGUAAGCGAGCGCAGGCGGUCUUUUAGUCUGAUGUGAAGCCC